rnacentral:rRNA from 1 species
AGACGAAGGUGGCAACCGUUGUUCGGAAUCACUGGGCAUAAAGAGCACGUAGGCGGACACGUAAGUCGGGUGUGAAAUCCCUCGGCCCAACCGAGGAACUGCGCCCGAAACUGUGUGCCUUGAGGACGGGAGGGGAGCGUGGAAUUCCUGGUGGAGCGGUGAAAUGCGUUGAUAUCAGGAGGAACACCGGCGGCGAAGGCGGCUCUCUGGACCGUUACUGACGCUGAGGUGCGAAAGCUAGGGGAGCAAACAGGAUUAGAAACCCCGGUAGUCC